AUAUUAGAAAAAAGCUACUUACAAAACCUUUAAUAAUUGAAUCAUGCGUAGCUAUAAGAAUUCGCACUCUUAAUAAGAAUUAUAUGCGUUAGAGCGAGUAAGUGAAAAUCAGGCGAAAUUUGACAGCGAAUUUCAAAUUUGAUUCUAGUAGGCUGCGAAGAAAAACAUCAAUUUCGCGCAAAAUUUUGGAGAUAGCCAAACAUCAGCAGGAGACUGAAGCCAUCAGAACCUUGAAGAUUGCCAAACAUCUGUAAAGACAUCCACAGCACACUGAACACCAUUGGUCACCAACAGCUCUCAACCCUACAUCAUACCAGCUGCAUUGUUCGGUGAGUUUUAUUGUUCAAAUCAGUCAUGCCCAGCGCAAGGCACUUGCAUAUGGAAUUCUGCCAGCGCAGGGCAUUUGCUUAUGGAGUUCUGCCGACGUUGGGCAUGACUGG